UACGAAGGGGGCUAGCGUUGCUCGGAAUCACUGGGCGUAAAGGGCGCGUAGGCGGACUUUUAAGUCAGGGGUGAAAUCCUGGAGCUCAACUCCAGAACUGCCUUUGAUACUGAAGAUCUUGAGUUCGGGAGAGGUGAGUGGAACUGCGAGUGUAGAGGUGAAAUUCGUAGAUAUUCGCAAGAACACCAGUGGCGAAGGCGGCUCACUGGCCCGGUACUGACGCUGAGGCACGAAAGCGUGGGGAGCAAACAGG
rnacentral:rRNA from 1 species